rnacentral:rRNA from 1 species
GACAGAGGGUGCAAACGUUGUUCGGAAUUACUGGGCGUAAAGCGCGUGUAGGCUGCUUCGCAAGUCGGGUGUGAAAGCCCUGGGCUCAACCUAGGAAGUGCACUCGAAACUGCGAAGCUCGAGUCCUGGAGAGGAAGGCGGAAUUCUCGGUGUAGAGGUGAAAUUCGUAGAUAUCGAGAGGAACACUGGUGGCGAAGGCGGCCUUCUGGACAGUGACUGACGCUGAGACGCGAAAGCGUGGGGAGCAAACAGG